CCUACGGGAGGCAGCAGUGAGGAAUAUUGCUCAAUGGGCGGAAGCCUGAACCAGCCAAGUCGCGUGAGUGAAGACGGUCCUAUGGUUUGUAGACCUCUUUAGGCGGGGAGCAAUGCCGGGCACGCGUGCCCGGAGGGAGAGUACCCGCAGAAUAAGCAUCGGCUAACUCCCGGCCAGCAGCCGCGGUAAUACGGAGGAUGCGAGCGUUAUCCGGAUUUAUUGGGUUUAAAGGGUGCGUAGGCGGAUGGUUGAGUCAGCGGGAAAAUGGCAGGGCGAACCCCGGGUCGGCCGUUGAUACUGGGGAGCUUGAGUGGGCGAGAAGUAGGCGGAAUGCGUGGUGUAGCGGUGAAAUGCAUAGAUAUCACGCAGAACUCCGAUUGCGAAGGCAGCAUACCGGCGCACGAUUGACGCUGAGGCACGAAAGCGUGGGGAGCGAACAGGAUUAGAUACCCUUGUAGUC
rnacentral:rRNA from 1 species